GUCUCCGUAGCUCAGCCGGAUAGAGCACAGGUUUCCUAAACCUGGGGUCGCGUGUUCGAGUCACGCCGGGGACGCCA
rnacentral:tRNA from 2 species